GGCGACCGGCGCACGGGUGAGUAACGCGUAUGCAACUUGCCUAUCAGAGGGGGAUAACCCGGCGAAAGUCGGACUAAUACCGCAUGAAGCAGGGGCCCCGCAUGGGGAUAUUUGCUAAAGAUUCAUCGCUGAUAGAUAGGCAUGCGUUCCAUUAGGCAGUUGGCGGGGUAACGGCCCACCAAACCGACGAUGGAUAGGGGUUCUGAGAGGAAGGUCCCCCACAUUGGUACUGAGACACGGACCAAACCCCUACGGGAGGCAGCAGUGAGGAAUAUUGGUCAAUGGGCGUAAGCCUGAACCAGCCAAGUCGCGUGAGGGAUGAAGGUUCUAUGGAUCGUAAACCUCUUUUAUAAGGGAAUAAAGUGCGGGACGUGUCCCGUUUUGUAUGUACCUUAUGAAUAAGGAUCGGCUAACUCCGUGCCAGCAGCCGCGGUAAUACGGAGGAUCCGAGCGUUAUCCGGAUUUAUUGGGUUUAAAGGGUGCGUAGGCGGCCUUUUAAGUCAGCGGUGAAAGUCUGUGGCUC
rnacentral:rRNA from 1 species